rnacentral:rRNA from 1 species
CCUACGGGAGGCAGCAGUGGGGAAUAUUGCACAAUGGGGGAAACCCUGAUGCAGCGACGCCGCGUGAGUGAAGAAGUAUCUCGGUACGUAAAGCUCUAUCAGCAGGGAAGAAAAUGACGGUACCUGACUAAGAAGCCCCGGCUAACUAUGGGCCAGCAGCCGCGGUAAUACGUAGGGGGCAAGAGUUAUCCGGAUUUACUGGGGGUGAAGGGAGCGUAGACGGCAGCAAAAGUCUGGAGUGAAAUCCCGGGGCUUAACCCCGGAACUGCUUUGGCAACUGUGCGGCUGGAGGGCAGGAGGGGGAAGCGGAAUUCCUGGUGUAGCGGUGAAAUGCGUAGAUAUGAGGAGGAACAUCGGUGGCGAAGGCGGCUUACUGGACUGUAACUGACGUUGAGGCUCGAAAGCGUGGGGAGCAAACAGGAUUAGAUACCCUAGUGUC